rnacentral:tRNA from 1 species
GCGGCUUUAGCUCACUUGGGAGAGCGCCAGACUGAAGUACACUUCAGAUCAAUGUGAUAUCUGGAGGCACUGUGUUCGAUCCACAGAAGCCGCA